rnacentral:rRNA from 1 species
AUUGAACGCUGGCGGCAUGCCUUACACAUGCAAGUCGAACGGCAGCACGGGUGCUUGCGCCUGGUGGCGAGUGGCGAACGGGUGAGUAAUACAUCGGAACAUGUCCUGUAGUGGGGAAUAGCCCGGCGAAAGCCGGAUUAAUACCGCAUACGAUCUACGGAUGAAAGCGGGGGACCUUCGGGCCUCGCGCUAUAGGGUUGGCCGAUGGCUGAUUAGCUAGUUGGUGGGGUAAAGGCCUAACAAGGCGACGAUCAGUAGCUGGUCUGAGAGGACGACCAGCCACACUGGGACUGAGACACGGCCCAGACUCCUACGGGAGGCAGCAGUGGGGAAGGUUGGACAAUGGGCGAAAGCCUGAUCCAGCAAUGCCGCGUGGGUGAAGAAGGCCUUCGGGUUGUAAAGCACUUUUGUCCGGAAAGAAAUCCUUGGCCCUAAUACGGGCGGGGGAUGACGGUACCGGAAGAAUAAGCACCGGCUAACUACGUG